rnacentral:rRNA from 1 species
CCAAUAGCGUAUAUUAAAGUUGUUGCAGUUAAAAAGCUCGUAGUUGAAUUUCGGGAUCAAGGGAUCGGUCAUGCCUUGGUAUGUACUGGUUUCAUUGGUUCUCACCUUCUAAAGAACCAUGAUGUCAUUCAUUUGAUGUUAUGGGGAAUUAGGACGGUUACCUUGAAAAAAUUAGAGUGUUUAAAGCAAGCUUACGCUUGAAUACAUUAGCAUGGAAUAAUGAAAUAGGACAUCAGAUUCUAUUUUGUUGGUUUCUAGGAUCGAUGUAAUGAUUAAUAGGGAUAGUUGGGGGCAUUAGUAUUCAAUUGUCAGAGGUGAAAUUCUUGGAUUUAUUGAAGACUAACUACUGCGAAAGCAUUUGCCAAGGAUGUUUUCAUUAAUCAAGAACGAAAGUUAGGGGAUCGAAGACGAUCAGAUACCGUCGUAGUCUUAACCAUAAACUAUGCCGACUAGGGAUCGGAUGAUGUUAAUUUUUUAAUGACUCAUUCGGCACCUUACG